CUUGGAACCGGGAGAGGUAAGAGGUACUACAGGGGUAGGAGUGAAAUCUUGUAAUCCCUGUGGGACCACCUGUGGCGAAGGCGUCUUACCAGAACGGGUUCGACGGUGAGGGACGAAAGUUGGGGGCACGAACCGGGAUUAGAUACCCGGGUAGUCCCAGCCGUAAACGAUGCUCGCUAGGUGUCAGGCAUGGCGCGACCGUGUCUGGUGCCGCAGGGAAGCCGUGAAGCGAGCCACCUGGGAAGUACGGCCGCAAGGCUGAAACUUAAAGGAAUUGGCGGGGGAGCACAACAACGGGUGGAGCCUGCGGUUUAAUUGGACUCAACGCCGGACAACUCACCGGGGGCGACAGCAAUAUGUAGGCCAAGCUGAAGACUUUGCCUGAAUCGCUGAGUAGAGGUGCAUGG
rnacentral:rRNA from 1 species